AACGAACGCUGGCGGUGUGGCUAAGACAUGCAAGUCGAACGGGCCAUUCUGAUGAGUAAUCUGAUGAAUGGUUAGUGGCGCAAGGGUUAGUAAUGGAUAGGUAACGUACCCUUUGCUUCGGGAUAGCGUCCUGAAAGGGGCGGUAAUACCGGAAAUGUCAUUUGUCGAUGGGCAGAUGACCAAAGAUUUAUCGGCGAAGGAGCGGCCUAUCUCCUAUCAGCUUGUUGGUGAGGUAAAAGCUCACCAAGGCUAAGACGGGUAGCGGGACUGAGAGGUUGACCCGCAACAUCGGGACUGAGACACUGCCCGGACCCCCACGGGGGGCUGCAGUAACGAAUAUUGCGCAAUGGGCGAAAGCCUGACGCAGCGACGCCGCGUGCGGGAGGAAGUCUUUCGGGAUGUAAACCGCUGUCAGGGUGAAGAAAGUCCGUUUAGGCGGAUUGAUCUAACCCAAAGGAAGUCACGGCUAACUUCGUGCCAGCAGCCGCGGUAAGACGAAGGUGGCAAGCGUUGUUCGGUAUCACUGGGCUUAAAGCGUGUGUAGGCGGAAAGGUAAGCGUUUUGUGAAAUCCCCCGGCUCAACCGGGGAAUGGCUGGGCGAACUGCCUUUCUUGAGGUAGGCAGGGGUGCAUGGAACUCUUGGUGGAGCGGUGGAAUGCGUAGAUAUCAAGAGGAACGCCGGUGGUGAAAACGGUGCACUGGGCCUGCUCUGACGCUGAGACACGAAAGCGUGGGGAGCGAACGGGAUUAGAUACCCCGGUAGUCCACGCUGUAAACGAUGUCUACUAGGUUGUGGUCGUUCUGACACGUUCACGGCCGAAGCGAAAGUGUUAAGUAGACCGCCUGGGGAGACGGUCGCAAGGCU
rnacentral:rRNA from 1 species